UACGGGGGGGGCAAGCGUUGUUCGGAAUUACUGGGCGUAAAGGCUCGUAGGUGGCCAACUAAGUCAGACGUGAAAUCCCUCGGCUUAACCGGGGAACUGCGUCUGAUACUGGAUGGCUUGAGUUCGGGAGAGGGAUGCGGAAUUCCAGGUGUAGCGGUGAAAUGCGUAGAUAUCUGGAGGAACACCGGUGGCGAAGGCGGCAUCCUGGACCGACACUGACGCUGGAGGAGCGAAAGCCAGGGGAGCAAACGGGG
rnacentral:rRNA from 1 species